rnacentral:lncRNA from 1 species
GAAUAGUGCUAAAUCAUAAAAAAAAAAUAAACAAUACACUUUUAAGGCUUUUACCUAACUUAGAAUGUCAUCUUCUUUUGCUUUUAUAAUAAUUUAGGUCUCUCUUCCACAUUUAGUAAUUUGUAGAAUGAAAUAUACGCAUUUAAAUAGAAAUUGCUUUUCUUAAAUUUUCACUUAAACACAUCCUCACUCAGUCAGAGAGAAGACGGAAUUAAUUACCAUCACUUCAUUUGUCAUAUAAAGUAUAAUUGUUGCGCUCUUUAGAAUUAUUUACUCAGUAUUAUUAUUAAAGUUGUAAUGAAGUUUUUAUUUAACUGUACAUGUUUUAUUUAUUGCCACAUUAUACUACUCAAAUAAAUCUGCUUAAACGUGUGGUCUUUAGAAGCUCUAUGACAAAAUCAAUGACCACUCUUUUGCUAACAGACUUGUAACUUAACAAGCUAUUUUUUGUCAGUGUGACUGAUGUGAGCAUUGUAAAAACCAAUUUGUUUGAAAAUCCAUUGGUAUUUUAUCUAGAGUUACUAUUGUGGUAUAUUCAAAAAUAUCUUUAAAACAGCACUGAAUUUUCAUGGACAAUAUGAAAAUAAAGACUGAGGCUUUUUAAAAUGUACUGCUUGGAAAAUAAGGUUUAACAUGCAUAAAUGUUCGUUAUUGAAGUGUUUAAUUUGCUUUAAUUUGACGUUGUUCUUCCUAUGCC